GCCAAUAUUGUUUUACAACAAACAAAGUUUUCAUGCAUAUAAUUAAUAUAUCCAUACAGGAAAUCCACAUAAUUAAAAAAAAAAGCACGUACACUCAGUCACACUCGAGCUUCCCUUGCAUCAGUGAACCCCUACAAGCAUAUAUGGAGCCACGGGGAAGCCACCUUCACUCCAAGCACCCAUCAACCUCACCAUAUUUAGAUAAUAAUCACCUCAUGCAGCCUAUUCUAUCAUAACACACGAUACAAACCACCAAAGCUUUCACAUAUAUCUGAGAGGACUAUUAAGUAUCAGAGGUGGCCGCCCGGGGUUUCGCCGUGGCCGACACCGGGGCCAUGCCCAGGGUUGGUAGGUAGGGAAUCUCCAGCCGGGAAAUCGCCCAAUUGAGACUUGAAAUUUUCUAUGGGACAUGGUUGUUUCAUCUUGGUAGGAGAGUACUUUGGACAUAUUGGUGCACGCCUCUCCAGCAUCCUUGCACUAGUUGGAUGGAAGAGAAGCACAAGGAGAAUGAACGUUACAGAAGUUGCACUAAGAGAGAGGUUUCUCUCAACUACGGCCAUUGGUUAUGCUAAUGAUUGAUAGGUAGAGGUUAUGGAAGGAAUGGGAGAG
rnacentral:lncRNA from 1 species